rnacentral:rRNA from 1 species
AAGCGUUUAUGACCAGACUUGGGCCCGGUGAAUCAUCCAGCGUUCUCGCUGGUGCACUUUGCCGGGCUCAGGCCAGCAUCAGUUCGCCGCGGGGGAUAAAGGCUUCGGGAACGUGGCUCCCUCGGGAGUGUUAUAGCCCGUUGCGUAAUACCCUGUGGCGGACUGAGGUUCGCGCUCCGCAAGGAUGCUGGCGUAAUGGUCAUCAGCGA